GUUGUGGCUCAGUGGUAGAGCGCUCACCUAGCAUGUGUGAGGUGCUGGGUUCAGUCCUCAGCACAACA
rnacentral:tRNA from 1 species